CGCGCGGAGGCCAAGCGCCUCCGGCGCCGCCGCCGCUUCCUCCCGGCGGUGCUGCCUCCAGGCGCCACCGACGCUUCCUCCCCACGGCGCUGCCCCAGGUGCCGCCUCUUCCUCCCCACGCUGCGCCGCCCUUCUUCGUGCCACCGCCGCCGCCUCUCCGCUUCGCAGCGCCGGCGCCGACUCCACCUCAAUCCGCCAUCACCAGUCGCCCUAGCCCCCACGUCCACCUUCACAGCCGCCCUAGCCCCUUCCUCCGCCACCCGCACCAGCCACCCUAGCCCCCAGUCCCCCACCUCCGCCACCCCCACCUCCACCUCCACCACCCCACACCUCCGCUGCUUCCUCGAGCUCAGCCUCCCCUUACCCCUUCACCCCCAAUCCCUUCCUAAAAAAUCAGGGAAGUGUUCAAGAGCCUCUAAGCAAGGACUUUGGCUGUUUGUAGAGCCCACCAUGUGA
rnacentral:lncRNA from 1 species